UAGGAGCCGGGCACUCUGCGGGACUGCCAUCGACAAGAUGGAGGAAGGUGGGGGAGUGACGUCAAGUCAUCAUGGCCCUUAUGUCCAGGGCGACACACGUGCUACAAUGGCCGGCACAGCGGGAAGCGAGGCAGUGAUGCCAAGCGGAUCCCUUAAAGCCGGUCUCAGUUCGGAUUGAAGUCUGCAACUCGACUUCAUGAAGCUGGAAUCGCUAGUAAUCGCAGAUCAGCCAAGCUGCGGUGAAUACGUUCCCGGGCCUU
rnacentral:rRNA from 1 species